AGUGAACGCUGGCUUUAGGCCUAACACAUGCAAGUCGAACGGCAGCACAGUAAGAGCUUGCUCUUACGGGUGGCGAGUGGCGGACGGGUGAGGAAUACAUCGGAAUCUACUUUUUCGUGGGGGAUAACGUAGGGAAACUUACGCUAAUACCGCAUACGACCUACGGGUGAAAUCAGGGGAUCUUCGGACCUUGCGCGUUUGAAUGAUCCGAUGUCGUAUUAGCUGGUUGGCGGGGUAAAGGCCCACCAAGGCGACGAUCCGUAGCUGGUCUGAGAGGAUGAUAAGCCACACUGGAACUGAGACAAGGUCCAGACACGUACGGGAGGCAGCAGUGGGGAAUAUUGGACAAUGGGAGCAAGCCUGAUACAGACAUACCGCGUGGGUGAAGAAGGCCUUCGGGUUGGAAAGCCCUUUUGUUGGGAAAGAAAAGCAGCAGGUUAAUACCCCGCUGGUCUGACGGUACCCAAAGAAUAAGCACCGGCUAAAUUCGUG
rnacentral:rRNA from 1 species